CCCAGAAGCCCAGAAACACAUGGAAUGGUUUGCGUUGGAAAGACCUUAAACUUUAUCCAGUUCCACCCCCUGCCAUGGGCAGGGACACCUCCCACUAGUCCAGGUUGCUCCAACCUGGCCUUGGACACUUCCAGGGAUCCAGGGGCAGCCACA